CUCUGCUUGCCUUGGGUCAUGGGUAUAUAUAAAUCCAUGCAGCCACAAGUUAAUUCCCACAGCCUGUCCAAUUUUAUUGCCAAUUGAAGAGUCCAAUUCCAGCAGCCACUUACAUAACAUGCAUGGUCAUAUGUGUAGACAAGAUUUGGUGAAUAAUUUUGACCCUCCAAUGACAAUUAGCUGCCCAAUUCUGCAGGUAUUUUCUCUAAAAAAUCAGCUUUUGCAAUCCACUAGCAUACCCUAGCAGCUGCCGACUUUUCCUCACUAAAGCACUCAAUUUUCGGCUCC
rnacentral:lncRNA from 1 species